rnacentral:lncRNA from 1 species
GCCACUCUGCAACUGCCACUCUGCAACGGCUUCCCACAUCUCCUCCUUUUUGUUUUAAUAAAAUGAGGCUGGUCUAGGCCUGUGCAAUUAUGUCCAUCCGCCAUGGCUCCUGUUUUAGGUUGUUCCUCUAAUGUCACAGCCUUUCCCGUCUUAGGUUGGUCUGUGCAUGAGGAAAGUUGCCUGUCUCUGGAUACCGCAGUACUGUGUGACAGUAACUGCUAAAUGACCUAGGGUGAACUUAUGGCCCACAAAGGUAUACUUAUCCUGGUCUCAAUCAUCAGGAGCAGGAUCAUCUUCGGAUUCAUCUUGAUCUUUCACGAACCCAAAGUGGAUUUUUUUCACCCGGUACCGCCGUUCCUCAGCUGAAGAGUUCUGAAUCCACGCAGUCCGGAUCCUUCUCAGCAGUCUGUUUUGCAGGAACACUUCAUUACCACCGUUCCCCAGCUGAAGAGUUCUGAAUCUACGCUCGAUCCUUCUCAGCAGUCUGUUUUACGGGAACCUUUAUUAACCGCUCCUUCCCCGUGAUGCAGUUCUGAAUCCUCCCUGUAGCAGGGGGUCUUUGCUCGUGCCUGAAGAUGUUUCUUGUCCCGGGUUUUCGACACUUCUUGCGCGCGCUCGACUGGCCAGGAAGAACGACGCUGCAACAGGAUCCUUCUGCACACGUUUAUUGGGAGAGCUCGAUUGUAGAGGCGAAAAGACCCUGAGCCCAGAACUGGUGCUGCUUACAUAGGCCUAGGAGAGGCGUGUCUCACAUCUGAUUGGUUAACUUGUCUUGGCAAAAGAACCUUCACUGCCUAUGUAUGUGUGGUGGCCAGCAGUAGCCAACUGCCACUCUGCAGCUGCCACUCUGCAACGGCUUCCCACAAAAAAGACCAGGCCAUGAAGCUGGGAUGCUGUGGCUCAGAGCAGAGCACAUCCUCAAAUGCUAGAGGCCCUGGGUGAUUGUCAGUACACCAUUACGUCAAGUAGGGUCUUGUUGCUCCUAAGGUUUCUUCUAAAGCUUGGCAAUAUGUGUUUAUUUCAGAAUAUAGAUGCCUACACACCC